GACGAACGCUGGCGGCGUGCUUAACACAUGCAAGUCGAACGCGUGUAGCAAUACACGAGUGGCGGACGGGUGAGUAACGCGUGGGAACCUGCCCAAUGGUAGGGAAUAACUGCGGGAAACUGCAGCUAAUACCCUAUGCUCCCUACGGGGGAAAGAUUUAUCGCCAUUGGAGGGGCCCGCGUCGGAUUAGCUAGUUGGCGGGGUAACGGCCCACCAAGGCUACGAUCCGUAGCUGGUCGAGAGGAUGAUCAGCCACACUGGGACUGAGAUACGGCCCAGACUCCUACGGGAGGCAGCAGUGGGGAAUAUUGGACAAUGGGCGAAAGCCUGAUCCAGCGAUGCCGCGUGUGUGAAGAAGGCCUGCGGGUUGUAAAGCACUUU
rnacentral:rRNA from 1 species